GGGAAUUUAGCUCAGUGGCAUAGAGCACCUGCCUUGCAAGCGCAUGGUCAAGGGUUCGAUCCUCAGUACCCA
rnacentral:tRNA from 1 species